rnacentral:misc_RNA from 1 species
AAGUCGUAACAAGGUUUCCGUAGGUGAACCUGCGGAAGGAUCAUUAACACGUAUCCAACGUUAAACCCCCCCGUGCACCUUCAAACACCAUACAGCGCUUCGUGACCCAUCUUGUGUCGGGAUUGAUGGUCGGGAAAAACAGGGAUCUAGGGAGUUGGUUGUCGGGGGAGAACCUCGCGAAAUGGGGUGGCACGCCGAGAGGCGGGGACCAUUCCUGGUUGCGAUGUAAACGUGGAAUACCCGAACAACUGUUAACAAUGGAUAUCUUGGCUCUC